UGUAGCUCAGUGGUAGAGUGUGUUCCUAUAAUGCAUGAGGUCCUGGGUUCAAUCCCCAGCA
rnacentral:tRNA from 1 species